rnacentral:rRNA from 1 species
ACUCUAAUGAGACUGCCGGUGACAAACCGGAGGAAGGUGGGGAGUGACGUCAAGUCCUCCAUGGCCCUUAUGGGUAGGGCUUCACACGUCAUACAAUGGUCGGGACAGAGGGUCGCCAACCCGCGAGGGGGAGCCAAUCCCAGAAACCCGAUCGUAGUCCGGAUUGCAGGCUGCAACUCGCCUGCAUGAAGUCGGAAUCGCUAGUAAUCGCGGAUCAGCAUGUCGCGGUGAAUACGUUCCCGGGUCUU